rnacentral:misc_RNA from 1 species
UUAAGUUCAGCGGGUAUUCCUACCUGAUCCGAGGUCAACCACUAGAAAAUUAGGGGGUUUAGCGGCCGGACGCCAGCGCUGAGCUCCUGAAGCGAGAUGAAAUACUACGCUUGGGGCCAGCACGGCUCCGCCGAUGCUUUUCAGGAAUUAUCCGUAGAUAAACUCCCAACACCAAGCCGCUAGGGCUUGAGGGUUGAAAU